GAGAAGACCGCCGAUGGCCCGUAAGGGUACAGGUAAGGGUGAAAGGGUGCGGUAAGAGCGCACCGGACGACUAGCAAUAGUUCGUAGCAGGGUAAACUCCACCUGAAGCAAGACCAAAUAGGCCUCCACAUUGCGUUGCUCGCGUAAGGAGGCGGGUAGGUUGCUCGAGCCAGUGAGUGAUUGCUGGCCUAGACGAAUGGCUACCGCCGUGCAAGCGGAACAGAACCCGGCUUAUGUGUCGGCUCCACCU
rnacentral:RNase_P_RNA from 1 species